GUGGACUAUCAAGUGAAGCCUCCCAGAAUGCCCUCUGCUCGGAUCGCCUGGCCAGCAGACCAGCUUAGGAGUCAACUUGGGAAGAUCAAAGAAUAUGAACUGCCUUCUGCUCGCCUUAUCAUCCUGCCUGGGACUAUUCCUGGUUGGAACCAAGGAAAGGAAACUUGAUUGGCCAUUGGAAUGUAUAUUAAUUAUCUAGAAGAUCCUCAUACCACAGCAGUGCUAUAUUCAGACUGAUUAUCCUUGCAAUUCUUGGAAGAAAUGAGGACUCCAUGGGAAAAUGCAUACCAAGUCUUCAUGGACUGAAAAAUCAAACUGGCCACCACCAAGAGAACAUAACAGUGUGUGAAGAGAAUGUAUUUAUUUGGGUUUAUUUUUAAAUCCACCCAUCUGUGAGCAUAUUUCCAGAAUUAUACAAUAAACCCAAAUAUACAAAAUAUGUAAUCCUUCCAAAGGAAGACUUUUCCUCCAUCCAGUAAAACCUAUUCAAUCCACCUAAUUUGACUCUUAAAGAUACUGCUGGGUCUGAAAUGUCCUGCUUUUUCCAAAUCCAAAUUUUAUUGUCGAUGUUGCUGCAUAAGUAACCAAACUAUAUUUUGAUUCCUGUUCUAUCUCUUUUUUCCUUUAUAUAUAAACACCAUAAACAUAAUUUUCUGGAAAUAAAUAUUAGAAAAGGAUUCAAAACAGGAACUGUGAAUCUGAAUCUCUUUACAAUUGGAAGAAGGGGGAUUCAGAGUCAAAACCUUAGAUCCAAAGUCAUUUUGAUCUUCUGUUUCUGCACUGGAUCCAGACCAGGAAAAUGUUAUUUUUCGGUCUCAAAUUUCUGAAAUUCUCAUUAGAAUGACUAUUUGUGAAAUUUUGUCAUUCAAGAUGACGGAUCUUGCAAGAACUUCAUUUCACAAGAUUUCUAUCACGUUGGAGCAAAAUCUCAGGAGAAGAACAUAAGAAAUGUCAAAGCUAUCAAAUCUGAACUGAAAUCCAAUUCAGUGCCUUCCUUUAACUGAACUCAACCCAAACCCUUGGCUAAACCCCAUCUGGAUCCAAACAUUGCCUCUUUGGCCUUUUUCCAGUUCAUUCCACUUUUUCCAGGAGAUAACAUCACAUAAGAAAUCUAGUUUAAAUAAACAAGAUAGGCAACCAGAGAGCAAAACUACAACAACACAAGUGAAAUUUGAUAUUGGAAAAGCAAGGCAUUUCUGACCAAGUACUUAAGGUACUGCCCUGGACUCAAGAGAUCCAUCUAUGUUCAAUUAGAGACUCUGCCACAAACUCCCGGUGUGACUCUGGCAGAUCAUUUAAUCUCUCGGUGUUUCACUUCAUCACAGGAAAACGCAGAUAAGACUUGCUGCCUCCUACCCUUUGCACAUUUAGGUCUAUUUAGAUUGUAAAAUCUUUGAGGCAAGGACUGCUCUUACUAGGAGUUUGUACAGCACUUAGCACAUGGGGCCAUGAUUUUGAUUGGGGGCAUUACGCUCUACUAUAAAACAUGUCAGGUAUAUCAUAUAGCUCAUUAAACUAUAGGUCAUAAAGCAGGAAAAGUACAUCCCGCCCUCCCCACUGCACAAUCACCAUAGAAAAAGAGGAAACAGAAUUCCUGUUAAAUUUCCCUCCAUACCUUGCCAUCCAUAACUGCUAAGGACUGCAAGGCCAGGAGUUCUUUGGGAACACCUAUACUUCUGGUACUCAUGCAAUGGUUCAAGUCCAUACCUACCCCAUCAGAACAUUACUCCAUUAACCUUUUGGGCACACUUCAAAGGGUGACUUUCCAACCAAGCAUUUGGGGAGAAACAAUGUAACAGGAAACCUAAAGUUCAUUAUUGAUUGACGUGUUAGAAUGAUAUGGGCCUGAUAUUAUUUUAUAAUAUGGAAUGAUUACUUUAACAUUUGAGUUUUAACUGCUGUAAAAGCUCUGAGCUCUGGAUGGUAAUUAUCAGUGAGAUAAACCUAAAGACAGAAAAUAAUUAUAUAAGGGAACCUUGAUUUUUAAAGCACCUCUGCAUUGCUCUGCAUAGGCUGAUUGAAAACACUCUUAAAACAGAAUCAGCUCAAUCUCAAAGCGGAGAAAUAGUUGUAGCAAUGUUUUGCAUCCUAAUUUACCAGCUUCCAAGUUUGCAAAAUGUCCACACAAUUAGAGUAAUUUUUUUAAA